rnacentral:rRNA from 1 species
AUGUCAUCGGCGGUGGAGGCGGAGGCGGAGGUGGUCAUCGUGGGCGCCGGGAUCGCAGGGCUGGCGACCGCGCUGGCUAUGCGUCGGACCGGCGUGCGCGGCGGUGUUCUGGUCCUGGAGCGGCACGAUGAGCUGCGCGCCACAGGCGCCGCGCUCACCAUCUUCCCUAGCGGCUGGUUCGCGCUGCGCGCGCUGGGCGCGCACAAGCUCAUGUCCGGCUACGACGCCUAUGAAACAUUUCAGGUGACCAAUCUUGAAAAUGGAGCAACUCAGGUGUUUCGCUUCGCUGGGCGCGAAAACAGCGGUGAAAUCAAGGCGAGGCCGGCGGAUCGAAAGGCGCUGCUGGAAGCGCUCGCGGAGGAGCUCCCGCCGGGCACCAUCCGCUUCUCGUCCAAGCUCGUCUCCAUCGACAGUGAGACUACAGCCGAGGAGGAGGGUUCGCCGGAGACCUCCGUUCUACGGUUAGACGACGGCACAGUGAUCCGAGCCAAGGUGGUGAUCGGGUGCGACGGGGUGCACUCGGUGGUGGCGCGGUGGCUAGGCCUGUCGGAGCCGGUGACAUGCGGCCGGUCCGCCGUCCGCGGCCUCGCCGUCUACCCGGACGGCCACGGCAUGAAGAGGGAGCUCCGGCAGUUCCUCUCGGCGGGCCUGAGGGCCAGCAAGGUGCCCAUCAGCGAGACGGAGGUCUACUGGUUCCUCGUCAACAACACCGUCGCCGCGGCAGAGGAAGAAGCCGGCGCGGACCCGGCCAAGAUCCUGCGGGAGGUGACCAACAACCUGGGGAGGCACAUGCCGGCGGAGUACCUGGACGUGGUGCGCCACUCCGACCACAACAGCGUCUCGUGGGCUCCGCUGCUCUACCGGUCGCCUUGGUCCAUCUUGACGGGCCCGGCCGGUCGCGGGUCGGCCACGGUGGCCCGCGACGCGUUCCACCCCAUGACGGCGGACCUGGCGCAGGGCGGAUGCUCGGCGCUGGAGGACGCGGUGGUGCUCGCGCGCGCCCUGUCGCGGGCGGCCACGCCGGCGGAGGGGGUGGCGGCCUACGUGUCGGAGCGCCGUGGCCGGGCCGCCUGGCUGGUCGCCGGAGCCUACCUGUCGGGCUGGGUUCAGCAGGGCGGGACCGACGCGCAGGGCCUGCGCGGCUACUUUGUCAAGCUGUUCCGUGACUUGAUCUUUUACAGGUUCAUCUUCCCCAAGCUCGCCGAUACCUUGUGGUAUGAUUGCGGCGAUCUGGUGCCACCGCAGUCCAAGGAGAAGGGCAAGAACCACUUAGAGUGA